UGGAACAAUAUUGAGAGUAUGAACCAAGGAUUAUGAUUAAUCUAGUUCUGCCCAUCAGAGGUUGACU
rnacentral:snoRNA from 1 species